rnacentral:rRNA from 1 species
UUAUGGAGAGUUUGAUCCUGGCUCAGGAUGAACGCUGGCGGCGUGCCUAAUACAUGCAAGUCGAGCGAACAGACGAGGAGCUUGCUCCUCUGACGUUAGCGGCGGACGGGUGAGUAACACGUGGGUAACCUACCUAUAAGACUGGGAUAACUCCGGGAAACCGGGGCUAAUACCGGAUAACACAUGAAACCGCAUGGUUUCAUGAUGAAAGACGGUUUUGCUGUCACUUAUAGAUGGACCCGCGGCGUAUUAGCUAGUUGGUAAGGUAACGGCUUACCAAGGCAACGAUACGUAGCC